GCCACUAAACGCCCUAGUCGAAGCCAAAAGCUCAUCUCCCGCCAUCAAAAGCUCUCGCCCCAGUCGACGGUGACCUUCAUAAUGUUCGACGGGGUCGGAGCCACCUAGUCGUUUCAGACUUCAAGCAGUCCUUCCCUCCCGCCAUCAACUCGUCUCCAGCGUCUCUCAGCUCAGCUCAGCUUCUCUGUCUUUGGUUCCCAAGAAGAUCAGCUCCCUUCGAUUCCUGCAAUGCUUCUCCGAUUCUGAUUACAGGGACCUUCUCAACAGAACAUAAACUUAGAGAAAAUGAUAAAUGCACAUGCAACUACUUCUCAGUCACAACAAUCAAGUCGACCAAUCAAUGCUCCAAGCAAUGAUCUUGAAAAUAGAAGAUGUGCACUUUUGAAUUGGAACAAUUAUGAAGAAGAUGAAGUGGUGGCUGAAGGGAAGAUCUCUUCAACAAAUCCAAGUACAAAAGUUCAUUGUGUGCCUCUUGGACGAGAUUGUUGGAAGGUUUGGGUUGAUGUGGUGUUUGAUGAGUAUCAGACUAUGGAAGUGUAUAGAGCAACCAUGGAAGUUGUAGGAAGCACUCUUGCAUGGCCCAAAAGCUCCAUUAAAAUGCUCCCUUAGUAGUUGAAGUAGCAGGUACAUUUUGCUUUACUAGAGAAUUUAUAUAGGUGAGGGAGUACCAUGCAUGUUUUGUCAAUGCUGAUGAACAAAGAAUCCAAUACUUUGUCAUGCUUGUUUUGUAAUUAAAGAACAUAUGUAUAAGAGAAUGUGGCACUCCUAAUGAAAUGUAUA